rnacentral:rRNA from 1 species
UAAGGGCGACUGAAAAGGGAAGAGCCCAGCGCAAAGCCUCGCCGGCCUCGUUUCAAAGGUCGCGAGGGGUGCUGCGUUCGGGAGAGUUGUGUUGGACUCGUCCUUCCGGCUUGCACGCAUUCCCGCGCCGCCUAAGUUGUUCUUGAAUGACUCCAAUACCCAUGGAGGGUGUCAGGCCCGUGUGGCGGACGCAGACGACUUCUCCCGAGACCACCGUUCGCGGAGGACGAAGGAGAAGGGCGGGUUGUGCGGAAUGGCCCUCUCCCUAGAGUCAGGUUGCUUGAAAGUGCAGCCUAAAGCAGGUGGUAAACUCCAUCUAAGGCUAAAUAUGACCACGAGACCGAUAGCGAACAAGUACCGUGAGGGAAAGUUGAAACAGGACUCUGUAGAGAGAGUUAAAGAGAGCGUGAAACCGUCAAGGGGCAAACGGAUGGAGAGUCGAAGAUCGAACCGGGGGGAUUCAACCCGUCCGGUCCUGGGAGGGCGACGUUGGGCUCACAUGCGACCUCUAUGCCUUCGUGGCUUAUUAGGGGCGCGACCCGACGCCCUGCCCGGGACUGACGGGUGAUCUUCCCCCUGCAGUAGAUCGCCGCGAUCCGUUGGAGGGAUGUCUCAGAGGCCCGGAGAGUGACCCGAAAGGGUUACUGUUCCGUAGGAACCCGAGGCUCGCUUUGUCGGCCACCCCAGCCUCACGGCUGGCGGCCGGCAAGUUUACGGCGGGUACCAACUCGGGGGAUCCUUCGGUGUCCUCGUCUUGUUCCUCCGACGGUCAACUCCUUGGGGGCCUUGCAGCUGUCGCUGCUCGGCCUCUCGCGGUGUGCAAAGAGUCGAUGCUCCAUCCGACCCGUCUUGAAACACGGACCAAGGAGUCUAACAUGUAUGCGAGUCAGUGGGCUCUGUCUAAACCCACGGGCGCAAUGAAAGUGAAUGCCUCAUAGGGCCGAUCCCACGGUCGGCUAAUGGUGGCGGCGGUCGGUGAAGGUGGGCUGCGGCGGAUCGGAUGGGGAUCCAUAGCUGGCGGCGAAGGGCCGUAACGGUUGACGUUACCAGUGCUUGAACGCAACGCAGCCCCUGUCAAAGGGGGCGGCAAGAAAGCGACGUAGGUCUUCGGGCCUGCCGUUGCGGCCUCUCGCGUCUGUCACUACCUCGGACGCCGUCGCGCUAAAAGGCCCGCCAUCACCGGUCUCCCCGUCGUCACCACGACCGCAAUGCCUCUACGUGCGUGGAGGGGGGCGCAGGCCUGGGACUCUCCGUGACGAACGGCGGCCAAAACUCCUUCACGGGGGCGGAGGCAGCCGGAUGUGUCUGGGGAGUACCUCGAGCAUAAAUGUUGGUACCCGAAAGAUAGUGAACUAUGCCUGGCCAGGAUGAAGCCAGGGGAAACUCUGGUGGAGGUCCGAAGCGGUUCUGACGUGCAAAUCGAUCGUCAGAGCUGGGUAUAGGGGCGAAAGACCAAUCGAACUAUCUAGUAGCUGGUUCCCUCCGAAGUUUCCCUCAGGAUAGCUGGCACUCGCUCCAACGAGUUUCAUCUGGUAAAGCGAAUGAUUAGGGGUGUUGGGGGCGGAAUGCCCUCAGCCCAUUCUCAAACUUUGAAUGGGUGAGACGCCGGGCUUUCUUUAAUAAUGAAGCCCUGGACAAGAAUCGGAGUGCUUAGUGGGCCAAUUUUGGUAAGCAGAACUGGCGCUGUGGGAUGAACCAAACGUUCGAGUUAAGGGGCCAAAAUGAAUGCUAAAUGAUACCAUGGAAGGGAGCUGCUUGCUAUAGACAGCAGGACGGUGGCCAUGGAAGUUGGAAUCCGCUAAGGAGUGUGUAACAACUCACCUGCCGAAGCAAGUAACCCUUAAAAUGGAUGGCGCUUAAGCAUUCUCCCGAUACUCGACCGCCGGGGCACUACAGGCUGAAUCAAGGAGGUCUCGAGGCCCCGGCGAGUAGGAGGCGCGCGGUGGUGAGCGUAGAAGGAUUCGGCGUGAGCCGGUCUGGAGCCGCCACCGGUGCAGAUCUUGGUGGUAGUAGCAAACAUUCAAUCAAGGCUCUCCAAUUGUUGACCGAUGCGGAGAAGGGUUCCACGACAACAGCAAUUGGUCGUGGGUUAGUCGGUCCUAAGCCCAGGGAUAACCUCCCUUCUAACCGUCUCUUUUCUCGUAGUUGCAACAUCGUUGUUUCCCAACGAGACUUAAAGAGAAAAAGACGUUUGGGCGAAAA